UACGGGGGGGCAAGCGUUGUUCGGAAUUACUGGGCGUAAAGGGCUCGUAGGCGGCCAACUAAGUCAGACGUGAAAUCCCUCGGCUUAACCGGGGAACUGCGUCUGAUACUGGAUGGCUUGAGAUUGGGAGAGGGAUGCGGAAUUCCAGGUGUAGCGGUGAAAUGCGUAGAUAUCUGGAGGAACACCGGUGGCGAAGGCGGCAUCCUGGACCGACAUUGACGCUGAACGGCGAAAGCUAGGGGAGCAAACGGG
rnacentral:rRNA from 1 species